AAUCAUCGAUGUUGAACCAAGAUGGACCAGCCAAAACAGUGGAUCAGCUGUAGAGCUGCCUCUAUAACCAUGUUUGCUACUGUCCGCAUGGCUAGCUCAAGGUUACCCGUGGCAGCACUUACAUUAAAACAGUUUUUAGAGACAGAACGUGUUGGGCCUGUACAGAAACAUGAUGCGGACCAUAAGGCAAGUGCCAGACGAAGGAGACCGAAAAGACUUAAGAUAUUGGGCGAGUGAUGAGUUCAAGAUAAAUAAAAAUGCCACAAAUCAGGACGCCAUCUGAAUGAUGAUCACACAGGCAAACAUGCACCACGAUGAGCUGCAGUCAUCCCUUGCAUUGGCUAACAUUAAGAAAUAAGGAUGACAUUUUUCGUUAGGUCUUAGGCCUACAUAGAGCCAUUAGCAUUGCUGCGUCAAUUCAAAAUAGACUAAAACCUGUCUGGAACUGUGGGACUGAGGUAAUCCACCCAUUCAUGCUGGAGGUGAAUGCCAGCAACUUUGCUAUUCUGCCUCAAAUGUAGCUAAGGUAUAACUCUGUCAGUGUCCAUUAUUAGGACACUGCCAGAGUUAGAUACCUCAAAUGGACUGUGUAUGUGCAGCAUGAAAGCCAUAUAGGAGUCAGGACCUUGUCACACUUGCCAUGGAAGAAAUCUUAGCUGUACCAGCUCCUCUACUUUCUUCUCGUUGAAUCCCUGACACUGCUUGUGUCUGAUACAGAAUGUUGUUUGGCGUGAGCACAACCAUAUGAGAUGUGUCAUUGGGAGUCCCCUAUCAGUUCGGUUGCUAGUAAAAUGUCCAUGUCUAGCAGUGGUGACACUUUCCCAGAUCGCUGAGUCUAGUUCACUUUUGAACAAAGCAGUGAGAAUCAUGUAUGAUAUGCCAUUUGCAAUAAUGUGAAAUAACACCAUAGGUAAGGAUUUAUUUAUUGGUUAUAACUAGUAUUCCAGGGCUCAUGUUGGGCUGCUCUUGGGUAGCUCUUAGCGUCUACCUCUUGAAUAUAAAACAGACGUGCCAUUUU